rnacentral:rRNA from 1 species
CACGGGUGCGUAACGCGUAUGCAACCUACCUCAUACUGGAGAAUAGCCCUUGGAAACGAGGAUUAAUGCUCCAUAGUAUCACAGAUUCGCAUGUUUUUGUGAUUAAAGAAUUUCGGUAUGAGAUGGGCAUGCGUCCCAUUAGCUUGUUGGUGAGGUAACGGCUCACCAAGGCAACGAUGGGUAGGGGGCCUGAGAGGGUGACCCCCCACACUGGUACUGAGACACGGACCAGACUCC